CUUAUACUUUCUCCGUCCAAAAAUACUUGUCGAGAAAAUGAUAAAAGUGGAUGUAUUUAGAAUUAAAAUACAUCUACAUACAUCAAUUUUUUAACAAGUAUUUUCGGACGGAGGAAAAGUAUUUA
rfam:Triticum aestivum genome assembly, contig: Triticum_aestivum_CS42_TGACv1_scaffold_221448_3B